rnacentral:lncRNA from 1 species
GUAACACUGAACUCAGCACUCUCUUUUCGCUUCUAAACUCACUGUAGACACUUAAUAUUCCUUAAGUCUAUGAUUGUUGACGCUGAGGCCCCAGAAAGUGGAGUUUGAUCCAAGCCCACAGGAAUUUAUCAUAAUGUUAUCUAGUGGUUGUCACAUGCCAUAGCAUAAAGUUCCUCAGUGGGACUGAAGAGGGAGCUCAAUGAAACAACACAGGACGAACUAAGAAGCACUUUCAGGUAGCCUCAAGCAGAAUCCAAUUCAACACUUCAGAGAAUCAGCAAUAGCUAAAAGAACUGCCUGCUCAGACUUGUCAAAGAUCCUGCUGCAAACUGCACCAGGCCCACAGCACGUGUCCUCAAAGGUUAGAGAGCAAAAAUAUUAACCUCUCCACCUUGCUGAGAGAGAGCAAUGCAACUACUUCAAAAACCCAGAAUGGCUCUUUCCAGAGGGGGAAUUAAAGAUGCUUUGGAUCCCAUCCUCUGAUGAUUCUGAGUUUUGCAUUGCCAUAGUUCCCAGUCAACAGAUGGGACAUUACCUUUGAAGGGAACCAAGAAGUAGACUGGCUUAAUAUAGCAGCCAGAGUUGGAUGCAAGGCUACUGUCAGACAUUCAGUUACUGCCUCUGUGAGUUGAAAAUACAUCCAGAUGAAGCCCAAGCUGAUGCUCUACUCAAUGGGGCACAAACACAAUGUGAAACAAACAAGAGAGAACCAGAUCUAGGUUUUAUUUGGUGAAAUCUGCAGAUGGCGUGGAGGCACAAUUCAAUUACAGUUAUUCCUCAAAGUUCCAUUAGAGAGAAGAGCAUGUGAAAGCUGAUUCAACAAUCAGAGUUGUUCUAAUAGGCCAAAUCUUCCCUUUGGGUUAUUUAGGAAACUACAAUAUUUCGGCUUUUGCUUACUGAAAUCAAGCUUGGAGAAGAGAUCCAAAAGAAUCAGGUGGGAAAGGCACAUGGAGAUAAUCCCAGAAAUAAUUUAGAGGUGAAAGCAGCUUGGUUAACCCAUUUAUGGGCAGGCAGGCAGAGGUAAAUGAUGAGUGAAGAAUUUGUAACCAAGGAUGACAUCAUUAUGAUGAUGUGAGAAUCUUGGACUAUUUAGUGUGGGGAAUGUUUUGGGCAACAACAAUCUCAACAAUAAGGACAAUGCACAAGGGCAGGGCAGAAAUGCCAGGACUUGAUUAGAAGUGACCAGGCCAGUAAUGGUUUUUCCUCCUGGCUCCAAAUGAGGAAAACAUGAAACUCAGUCCCCCUGAAUGGCAUGAUUUGCCUAAGACUCGGAACCCCACCAACUAAGUCAGAGCUCAAGAAAUGCAUGUAGAUAAGCUAUUUUGUUUCUAAAUUUAGCAACAUCAUAGGUAUCUAUAAUUACCUCUGUAAGCAAAUACAUUUCUUUCUCUUGAAUUUAUUUCAACAAAUGUAUUUUGUAAUACAGGUAGAAAACCACUCACUGAAAAAGACCCUGAAAAUAUAAGCAUAUAAAUAACUGCUAAAAGAGGUUACAUUUAACACUUAGGAGUCUGAAUUUUUGUUUCUUAGGAAACACAAGUAGAAAUUGUCAUGUAGAAAGGAAUAUUUCUUUGAGUAGAAAAACCCAAAACUUUUAUCAUUCAAAUAACCAAUCCUUGUUCCAUUUAGGCUUCACAACAAUAGUAUGAUGAAACUCAGAGAAAGUGAACCUCAAAGAGAGGUAAGUGGAGCAGGUUCACAUGGCUAUUAAGUGCUGGAGUCUGUGUGAACCCAGAUGGACCUGAGAUUUGAACUCAGAACACCUGUGCUUAACCAACAGCUGCUGCUACUCCUAGCUGAAUAAAACUGCUCAUAACUAAGGAUACUAAAAUCCCAAGUAAAUUAAACCAUGCCAAAAGUGUUUAUUUCUUAGACUUACCUGAAAGUACAUAUUGGUUUUGCAAAGUGUAAACACAGACCUUCCAUAGAUAUGCCCAGAUAUAAAGUUAAUAGAUGGUGCCAGGCUCGGGCAAGGUGGAGACAGGGAUGCUCUAUCUGCACAGCAGCAGAAGGGAAGGAGAGGUAUUUAUUUAGUUUCAGGCUGUGUGCAGGCCUGCAAGGACUGCUCUGUGCAGGGGUAAGGUAUUGCAACUCAGAGCUCAGCCCUCAUAACCCCAGGGCCAACAGAUCCCUAGGAAGCAGAUAAGGCUGAUGCAACACCAGAUACUCAGGAAAUAUCUGCAAUCUGACAUUCUGAUCUAAAAAAAAAAAAAAAAAAAAAAACCUGACAAACACUCAAAGGAGAAAAAAACAAGUAUAUAUUUAUAUUUUUUAAGUUGAGGACAUACUUUAGGUAUCACCAAAAGAAUAAGGACAUUUGGACUUCUGACUGUAUCAGUGGAACCCAGCUGUGCUAAUUCCUUAAUGCUAAGUCCUUGAUCUUUCAGCUGUUUUUGAUUUUGUUGUUUGUUUUAGAAAUUACCCAUUCAUGUUUUGUCUAUUGCUUAAGUUAAUUUCACUUGUCAGUUGGCUAGGCUAUAGUGCCCAGUUGUUUGGUCAAAUACCCCUCUUAGAUAUUGUUGGGAAGGUAUUUUUAAGAUGUGAUUAACAUUUAAAUCAGUAGCCUUUGACUAAAACAGAUUACCUGCCAUAAUUCGAUCAGUAGAAGACCCUAAGAGCACACUGUACUUCCCUAAAGAAAAAGGAAUUCCACCAGUCCUGUUUCUCUGGAGAACCCUGACAAAACACAGCUCAUAACUCCAGUUUACAUCUCUACAGUCUUGUUUUCUGGCAUAGAUCCCAAACCUAAGGUAUUUUCACUUAGAGCACUUACUGUCAUAUCAAAUACAACUUAUCAAGACCUAAACUCACACAAACUGUUUAGCAUUUACCCAGAAUGAACUGUAUAUAGUUAAAAAAAUAGACAAAUUGGCUAUCAAAUUAAGAUAAAGGGCAAUAAUGAAAUCCACUGGUGGUUACAUUCAAUGUUAAUGGACUGAAUUCUCCCAUUAAAACUAACAAACUGAAUUUUAAGAAGCAAAACAAUGUUACAUACAGUUCCUAACAAAUGCAAACAAAUACAAAUCAAAAGUGAUUAUAUGUGUGUAUAUGUACAUAUGUUUUCUUUUCUUAUUUGUUUAUUUAUGCACGCAUGCUGGGUACAGAACACAGGGUCUUACCCAUGCUAAGUGUGCACCCUACCACUGAGCUGCAUCCUCAAAUGAAAUGUGGUAACAUGAAGAAAACUUAGCAAACACUACCGUUAAAAGACAAUUUAUGAAGACAUUGGAUCAUAACAAGUUUGUUUGCAACAAAGAAGAAAAAUGUAGAGCAAAAAUUUUUAUGUAUGCAAGAACAAGAUAAGAAUAAAAUCAGAGAAGAUGUUAUUGUAUUUCACUUGGAACUAAACAGACUUCAAAAACAAGAAAUGAGGGGCUGGGGUUGUGGCUCAGCGGUAGAGCGCUCGCCUACCACGUUCGAGGCCCUGGGUUCGAUCCUCAGGACCACAGAAAAACAAAUAAAUAAAAUAAAAGUAUUGUGUCCAACUACAAUCAAAAAAUAAAUAUUUUAAAAAAAUAAGAACUGAG